rnacentral:lncRNA from 1 species
GGGAGAAAUUAGAAAUGUAGUUUUUGUUUUGAAUCCCUUGAAAAACUACAGUGACAUAGGAUUUACAUUGCACCUCCUAACUCUUCCAUUGGCUGUCAACAAUCUUUAGGGACUGGUUUCAACCGUCAUCUGUUACCGGGCAGAAAAUUAUGGCUCAGUCAAUCACUGGCCAGUCUGAGGAGAGGUGUCUUAUGACUCGCAUGCACGUGACUUUGUUGUUUUUUUAUUUUUCUUCUGGGAUGAAUACCUAUUGCCCGGUUGUAAAAGUAUCGCAAUUUUACGUAAAAAAAUACCCUAAAGGAUUGAUUGUAAACAUCGUUUGAUGUGUUUCUACAAACGGAAAUGGAACUUUGAACAUUUCGAAUAUGGAUUUGCGUCCACACCACAUGGCAUUGUAAAGUGUUCUGGAUGGGUCAACAAAACGGACGUAUUUGGACAUAAAUGAUGGACUUUGCAGAACAAAUGAACAUUUCUUGUGGAAGUGGGUGCCCAUCCGAGUGCAUUCCGCCAAAGACCAGCAAAGAACUGCUGUAUUAAUGUGGGGGAUCUGUAAGUAUCCUGUCAAGUCUCAUGUUGUUGAAACAAGGUAGGUUUAUGGAGUCCAGGUGAGUAGGGUAUAAAAUGUAUUUAAACAUGUCAGCAUCACAUGUAUUUCUUCAGUGUUAUUAGUGUCUUUAGUGUUAUUGUUUUUCUGGGUGAAUAAGGUUUGUAAAAAAAUAUCCUUGUGGUUGGGGGCUAAUGCCUAAAGUAUGGUAGGUAAAGGUGGUGUCAUCUCAUUGGGAAAAAUAGCAAGGUAAGUUUAUGAUACAACUGUGUUUUGACUAAGUUGAUCACAUAGUCCUCACAUAGUCCUCAGUCACACAAUUGUUAAUAAUGGGAUUUUCUCAAUGUCUUUUUUUAUAACAAACAUUCUAUCAAAGGUGCAGAAUGCACCAGUGGGCUAACUGGCAUAGCCUGCACAGGUGGGCUAACUGGCAUAGCCUGCACAGAUGAGCAGUGACAGUGGAAUGCAGGGACUCGGAGGAACCUUGAGCCAAAGCGGUUAAACAGCAUUGACUUCACACACCAUAAGGCCAGUAACCAAUAUGCAGAAAAGCGUCCAGAAUGUCCACCCCUGCCUCCCACUCCUGCAUUCCACUCACAGGAGGAAUUGAAUAGGAGCCUGAGACACCUGAAUCUGCCUGUGGGGAG